rnacentral:tRNA from 2 species
GGAUAAAUAGUUUAAAUAAAACAUAACACUGAAAAUGUUAAAAAGGGAUAUUCACCCUUUCUCCA